rnacentral:rRNA from 1 species
CGGGGGAAUCGAACCCCCAGCCUCUGCCAGCCUCUGGCUCCGCAGCUAGAAAUUUAGCUAAGCAGGGUUGGGCAUGGUUAGUAUUUGGAUGGGAAACCCUAUGAAAGCUAUGGAUUUCCACGU